rnacentral:lncRNA from 1 species
AGAAGCCAGUGGACCUGAAUUUGAACUGGGGCUCUGAGGACAAAGUGUUUACAGCAGCUGGCACUCGGCAGCAGACCAAGCAAAGUAGAAACAAAGAAGAGGAAUCUCUUGGCUGCUGAGUGUGUCAUUGUGUGACUGGAGCGAUGUAUAUACCUAGAACAAACGCCAUCAGGAGGCUGAAGUCUGAGCACCACCCUCUAGC